rnacentral:rRNA from 1 species
GACGAACGCUGGCGGCGUGCCUAAUACAUGCAAGUAGAACGCACAGUUUAUACCGUAGCUUGCUACACCAUAAACUGUGAGUUGCGAACGGGUGAGUAACGCGUAGGUAACCUGCCUGGUAGCGGGGGAUAACUAUUGGAAACGAUAGCUAAUACCGCAUAAUAUUGAUUAUUGCAUGAUAAUUGAUUGAAAGAUGCUAUUGCAUCGCUACCAGAUGGACUUGCGUUGUAUUAGCUAGUAGGUGAGGUAACGGCUCACCUAGGCGACGAUACAUAGCCGACCUGAGAGGGUGGUCGGCCACACUGGGACUGAGAAACGGCCCAGACUCCUACGGGAGGCAGCAGUAGGGAAUCUUCGGCAAUGGACGGAAGUCUGACCGAGCAACGCCGCGUGAGUGAAGAAGGUUUUCGGAUCGUAAAGCUCUGUUGUAAGAGAAGAACGGGUGUGAGAGUGGAAAGUUCACACUGUGACGGUAUCUUACCAGAAAGGGACGGCUAACUACGUG